GACGAACGCUGGCGGCGUGCUUAACACAUGCAAGUCGAACGAUGAUGCCAGCUUGCUGGUGGAUUAGUGGCGAACGGGUGAGUAACACGUGAGCAACCUGCCCCUGACUUCGGGAUAACCGCGGGAAACCGUGGCUAAUACCGGAUAUGACGCGCUAUCGCAUGGUGGUGUGUGGAAAGAUUUAUCGGUUGGGGAUGGGCUCGCGGCCUAUCAGCUUGUUGGUGGGGUGAUGGCCUACCAAGGCGACGACGGGUAGCCGGCCUGAGAGGGUGACCGGCCACACUGGGACUGAGACACGGCCCAGACUCCUACGGGAGGCAGCAGUGGGGAAUAUGGCACAAUGGGCGCAAGCCUGAUGCAGCGACGCCGCGUGAGGGAUGACGGCCUUCGGGUUGUAAACCUCGUUCAGUAGGGAAGAAGGCCUUCGGGUUGACGGUACCUGCAGAAGAAGCGCCGGCUAACUACGUG
rnacentral:rRNA from 1 species